AUCCCUAGCAGGAGAGACACUAUGUAUAAGAAGGUGGUUUCCCAGGGCAAGGCUCCCCAUUGCACUUUGGCUAAGCUGAUUGCUGUGAUUUCUCCUAAUAUGGGAAACUUGACUAAAUCAUUUAUGAUAGUGGGAGACUGUGUUCAUGCUCUCCCC
ensembl:snRNA U1 U1 spliceosomal RNA